rnacentral:lncRNA from 1 species
CAAAUCAAUCAAUCAAAAAGCUUGAAAUUAACCAUUGUUAUGUUCUUCACAGAUGGACAGUCCACAUGGUCCGGUGUGGGGGAAACCUGGACUAAUAGUGAAAAACCCAGAGUUUAAGGAGAAAGUUCUCAAGACUUCAAGGGCGUCUCCGUUGAUGCCACAGUCGUGCUUUUCUCCACAGGACGUCUCUCUCUGAGCCUCUACUCGAUGUUGUUUGUUUUAUAUCUUCGUCUUUCUGUUUUUUAGACUUUUAACUGUGAGUAAACACAACACCCUGGAACAGAGAAACCGAACCACAGCUCAAGAACUCAUUUUAAUUUGAUUUAUUAUUUAUAUUUUUAAUCUUUUUUUGAUUUCCUGAUUACUUUUACUCCUGUAUCACAUUUAUUGAUAAAAUGGUAUAAUUUGGUUGCAUGUACGGCGAGUAGGCAACGGCAAUAGACAAUAUUAUCAUUUGUUCAAAGAAAUGGCUGUGGCUUUGUUUCUCUGGGCCAUAAUUACUCUGUUUACUUGUGUUGUUUAGCUGCUGUAUAUUCAUUUAUAACCACUAUAUUGUACAGAAUAUGUCUCUUUAAUACGAAUUUUAAAUGUUUCCCCCGUUGGUUUUGGUACGACAUGUUUUUUUAAAUGUAUUUUACGUUACAUGAAUGAGUCUAUUUUUGACCUUCAAUGUGAAAUGUUACUUGAAGUGCAUAUGACAGGUUGUACUCUCUAUCCAAAUCUGUCAUGUGCACUUACACUUUUGAAAGGUUUUAAGGACAAGGCUGUGAAUUGUUGGUAACAGAAAGUUGGGAGAAGGAAGUGGGACGUUGUUUUGGAGGGAAUGAGCACUUUGAAAUGGUCUUAACUUUUUGGUCAGUAUUGGGAGCUUUUAUGGCGCUACUAAAUGUCGAAAGCGUGUGUGCAUCUACAUAAGCAAGAAGUUUGUGUGAAAAUGUGUUUACUUUGAAGCCUUGUUCAGUGAGUGGUUUCAGUAUUUCUGACAGGACUUGAUGCAUACCUGUUUUAAGUACUGUAUAUGAUGACUUGUCAAAACUGAAGAUUAAUCAUCUGAAAUGUUGACAUAUUUACUUUAUUUUAACCAUCCAGACGAU